rnacentral:rRNA from 1 species
AAAUUGAAGAGUUUGAUCAUGGCUCAGAUUGAACGCUGGCGGCAGGCCUAACACAUGCAAGUCGAACGGUAACAGGAAACAGCUUGCUGUUUCGCUGACGAGUGGCGGACGGGUGAGUAAUGUCUGGGAAACUGCCUGAUGGAGGGGGAUAACUACUGGAAACGGUAGCUAAUACCGCAUAACGUCGCAAGACCAAAGAGGGGGACCCUCGGGCCUCUUGCCAUCGGAUGUGCCCAGAUGGGAUUAGCUAGUAGGUGGGGUAACGGCUCACC